rnacentral:rRNA from 1 species
GACGAACGCUGGCGGCGUGCUUAACACAUGCAAGUCGAACGGAAAGGCCCUGCUUUUGUGGGGUGCUCGAGUGGCGAACGGGUGAGUAACACGUGAGUAACCUGCCCUUGACUUUGGGAUAACUUCAGGAAACUGGGGCUAAUACCGGAUAGGAGCUCCUGCUGCAGGGUGGGGGUUGGAAAGUUUCGGCGGUUGGGGAUGGACUCGCGGCUUAUCAGCUUGUUGGUGGGGUAGUGGCUUACCAAGGCUUUGACGGGUAGCCGGCCUGGGAGGGUGGCCGGCCACAUUGGGACUGAGAUACGGCCCAGACUCCUACGGGAGGCAGCAGUGGGGAAUAUUGCCCAAUGGGCGGAAGCCUGAUGCAGCAACGCCGCGUGCGGGAUGACGGCCUUCGGGUUGUAAACCGCUUUCGCCUGUGACGAAGCGUGAGUGACGGUAAUGGGUAAAGAAGCACCGGCUAACUACGUG